UGGGGAAUAUUGCACAAUGGGGGAAACCCUGAUGCAGCGACGCCGCGUGAGCGAAGAAGGUUUUCGAAUCGUAAAGCUCUGUCCUAUGAGAAGAUAAUGACGGUAUCACAGGAGGAAGCCCCGGCUAAAUACGUGCCAGCAGCCGCGGUAAUACGUAUGGGGCGAGCGUUGUCCGGAAUUAUUGGGCGUAAAGGGUACGUAGGCGGUCUAUUAAGUCAGGUGUGAAAGCGUGAGGCUUAACCUCAUUAAGCACUUGAAACUGAUAGACUUGAGUGAAGGAGAGGAAAGUGGAAUUCCUAGUGUAGCGGUGAAAUGCGUAGAUAUUAGGAGGAAUACCGGUGGCGAAGGCGACUUUCUGGACUUUUACUGACGCUCAGGUACGAAAGCGUGGGGAGCAAACAGG
rnacentral:rRNA from 1 species